AUUAAGUCAUUAAUUGAACUGAAAGGGCAGAGCAUCGGUUUCAUUUUUCUUUGCAAAGUGUUCUUGAAAUUGAUAUAUUUUUUUUAACUCAUUAAGCUUUCAAUUUCUACCUACCACUAAGGCUAUGCCUGGUAACCCAAAAAAAGAAAAGAAAAUAGUAUAAAAGAUAUGAUAAGACAAAAGUUAUAAUUACAUUAUGAUUUUUUUAUGUGUCUAUCCUUCUUGUUUUGAGUUGUUUAUUUCCUCCUCAAUCCAUUUUUCAGGCUUGGUCUAGGUUCAGGUAGGAGCUCGUUAGCGAAUAAAAUCAUUUUCUUAGGUAGAUAGUCUAAUCUACGAUCAAUCUACUCCUUUAUCAUCGGCUUUUUGAAGUGGUGGAAAAUCCGGUACUGAAAAUCCUAGAGGAGAUUCAAGAGAAGUAGGAGUGGAGAGUAGGGGUUGACAUUCGACUAUUUGCUUAUCUGCUUGGGCUAUCCCUUCUCGACAAGCGAAGGGUCCAAAGCACUAUCAUUAUAUUGAGAAGGGUAAUUCGGGCUAUAAUGCGGACUGAUAAUUUGAUACUUUGACCGUUGGAUGGAUAGGAAAUCCCUAAAGUCAUCUACUCAAUUUGAUGAUUCAUCUUAAUCAUACGGUAUACAUUUAUAUCUGCAUUUUCCCUUUUUUUUCAACUGUCAUUGUUCUUGAAAUCUCUCAACUUACAUUGACAUGUGUUGAAAUAUUAUUUUAGAUGAAUGAAAAAUGCAUUAAAAGGAUAAAUAAUUACAAGAUUACCGGACAAAAGCUAGAAAAGCAAAUGAUGAAAAAAGUGAAAAACAUUGGUGGAGCUAAUUACAAUAAAUGAUCUGCAAAACCCAUGAUGAUACAGAUUGUUCUCAAAUAUUCAGGCAAGAAGCAUGAGCGGGGUUAAUCUUGGUUUUAAUUUCAAUGUCUAUGGAGCUUUAGGAGGUUUUCUUGAAAGUAGCUACCCUUGAAAUAAUGCAUAAUAGCACAUUGAUUGAGCAUCUCUGCAUCGAAACUGAAUGGGGAUAGGGGAAUGUUCUGCCUACUUAGAGGGAAGCACCCACUUAAAUCUCGUCCCAAGAAUGAGAUGUCUCAAGAAAGAGAUGUGUUAGUCCAUUUAUACUUAAUCUUUCCCCACCAUACAUGGUAGAAAGUGGCACAAAAAAUGGCAUCUUAACCACAAUAUUACAAAUUGAAUUCUUUUCGAACAACAUUAAAUACAGUGUUUCAUAUGUUGGAACAUUUUUUUUUUUUUUUUUUCUGAAUGGAGAAUAACUCCCCCACCCGCUCUUGAAAAGAAAUUCUUAUUUAGUCAUAUUGCAUAUAAUAUAUAAUUUGUACUUGUUUGGAUAUAUAUAUAUAUAUAUAUAUUAUUUUAUUCAAAGAGUUGAGAACAGAUAGAUAUUGCCCAUAUGAAGUACGUAAGUAUGGGCAAAAGAGUGAACAGAUGCAUUAGUAAUGCUAAAUCAUAGAAGUGCCAUCGAAAAUUCUACAGUUUUAGAGGAAGUCAUGUGACUACUAUAUAACUUUAGGGCGACGAGUGGGCAUGCGGCUUGCUUUAAACAUGUUGGUGGCCUGAACCAAUGGAUGGGUGACACAUAAAGGAAAUGAUGGUCCUUUCCAAUUAUGGGAUGAGAGAGAGAUUGACACAACCCAAAAUUUCUCAUUAUUUAAUCGUUCACAAUAUUGAAGACCAAAGUGGCCGAAUGAAAGCAAUGUCCAGCUUUCUUUGUUCACUUACCCUUUAUAUAACACAUGUUGGAUUGUGUUUCCAACAUGUAUCUUUAUUUAUUUCACGUUAUCAUGUCUUUCUCUAUUUCUCCUGUAGUCUAUAAGACAACACAUAAAGGAACUAGUGUACACUGGUCAUCUUGGCAAAUUUUUUUUUUUUCUCUCAACAUAUAUUUAUGGGAAAAUGGUUUUGUCCCUUAGCUCCGGCACCAGCCCACUUUAUCUAUAUCUCUCUUCUUGUCCCAAUUAAUGACCUUCCUGCCCCUAUGGAGAAAACUGGCACCAGCUCCUUUUGUCUCUCUCUCUUCUUGUACCUUUUAAUGACUUUCCUGCCCCUAUGGAGAAAACUGAUUUGACUCUAACGCAGGUGUGGGAGUCAGUUUGUCGGCCUCAGUCCCCUGUAGCUGAGGGUAGAUGAGAAAAUAGGAAAUUCCAUCCAAUACUCUUCACAAUCACGCGAGCACUUCUAACCCCUAAGAGAGGGAGAGAUGAGACACAAACACAGCCACACGAUUCAACAAUAUAUAAUAAUCUCAGGAUUUUUUUUUUUGGUUUAAUCUCAGAAUCUAUCAAUUAUUCCUAUAAAUCAGGGCCCUCGCCGCUCUUUCUUGGAAUAUGCCUCUUCAGUUCUCCUACUACUGCAAUAGUUAUCUCUUCUCCCCCCCCCCCUCUCUUUUUCCUCUUCUUUCUACUUUUGUUGCAGUCAGAUGCUUUUGUUUGCUCCAUAAUCCAAAAGAAGACAGGUUCUGUUCGACAUGGCCGGUGAGUGAUUUCCAUGUUAUCUCUUGUCAAUUAUACAGUCUUCUGCAGAUCCACCUCUAUUUCAUUGUCUGUUCGACCUUGAACCUACAUACAUACAUCUUAAAAUACUUAACAAACCCUAAUCUCAAUUAUCUAUAAAAGAUGAUCAAAUCAAACCUUCUAGUUAAUUUCAUGUGUGUUUCUGUCAGUCUUUGUUUAUCUUAAUCUUUAUGUCCUCUUUUUAUGUUUCUGUGAGUCUUUGUUUAUCUGGGCUCGAGUUUAUCUGAAUCUUCACUAACUGAUAAGGGAAACAAAGAUGAGAAGAUCUGGGCUCAAGUUUAUCUGAAUCUUCACUAACUGGUGCAAGUUGUGUUAGGAAUAAUAGGAAGUGCUUCAUUGCUUUACACAAAACAGUAUUGUGGUUUUUGGAUUUGUAGCUUUCAUCUAGCUUCUUCCCUUAAUCCAGGCGGUUAUGGUGGUGGUUCUCAUAAUGAUUCUGAUUCAAUUCGAUUACAAGCCAAGAGCCAACGCUCCCCUAGUACUGUUCAUUAGACAAGGGUUUGCAUUAUUGAAUCUAAUGCGUGUGAGCUGCAUUGCCUUAUCUUUUCUUUCCUUAAACUAAGUUAGAUUUUUGUUGCCUUGUAUAUCUCUCUCGAGUCUCAACUACAAGUCAUAGCAUAAAUAUAUGUUUCAGCCACUCAAUGGUUGUAGUGAGUGAGCCAAUACAUGAAAUAUUCUCAAUUAGGGUUUCUGGGCUCUACAUAUGGAAUUAGAGCUUUGAAAGCCAACAGUACUGAUACCACUGACACUCUUGCUUGACUGAUGGUAACAUCUCUUUUCCCCCCCUUUGUUUUUUUUUUCAAACUUAUCACUGCAUCUCUCUUAAACUCACCUCAAAAAAUUCUCUUUUAGCAUGAUGGAUGGAGAGGAGACCUUAUGGCAAUAAGGAUGAACAUUGCAAUUGGGGAAGAAGACAUAGAGGCUAGGCUUAGAGAGUUAACAUUAGUGAUUAUAUAUGAUAUAAAUUGAGUGAUAAUUAUAUAUAAUCUCUAAUUUGAGUGAGAUUUUUGUUACAUUAUGAAAUAGAGAAAGCAACAAACAACAAAACAAGAAGUGUAUGGAUUUAGUGAAAGAGUAUUGAGUGGAAACAAACAGAAGAGUCCAGCAUAAAAGGGUAUUGUUUUUUUUUUUUUUUUUAAUGGAUAAUUUGUAUGUAUUUAGGAUACCAUUACAAUCAUCUUGGGGCAAACCAAAAGAAAGGAGGAGAUGUCCCUAAAUCAAGCAAGACAAACCAUGUACACAAAAAUGUACGACUUAUGAGGGAAUUCUCCCUUUAAACGUUCAUGGCAGACGAUGGACUUGGGACCAUCUUUGAGAGAUACUGUUCAUUGAGCAAAAAGGUCAUCCUUAUUGGUCCCCCCAGGUCUCAACCCUCCUAUUGCUUUCAUCCGAUUAAGGAAACCACAAGAAAUGCAAUUUAAAGCCUAGUCUUCACAUCCUUCCUCAGGUACCACUAUUCAACAAAAGACAAACUAUACUAACUGUUGGGGGGGGGGGGGGAGAGAAAACCCAAAAAACUGUCUGGAUAAUGAACUACAUUAGAAUAUUACUUAAAACAGUUGCAGUAGAGUUAUAUAAAGCUCAGUUUAUUAAUAAGAAGGUGAUGUCUCUUAGCUUGAAUCUCUCUGCACAUUUUUGUAAGAAAAAAGCUGCCAGAUCUUUAAGAUACUCUCUUUACAUAUAUGCAUCUCUUUCUUGACAGAUCUUCUCACUAGUUAGUGUUCUUAAAAGAGAUGGAUUUUGAGCUAUGAGUCAGAGGAAGUAACUUGAAGUCGGUCGUUUAGCAAAAACAAAAAAGUCAUGAAGUAGGUAAAGUGAAUCAAGGGGUGUGUACAUGCCUACCUAUCCCCUCCAUCCACCCCCAGAUCCACACAAUCCCAACCACUAUUAUUGUUCUUAAACAUCCAAAUGACCAAAAAUGCCAUAACAUUUUUUUUUGUUUUUUUUGUUUUUUUUUUGGUAAAAGACCAAAAAAUGGCAUAACAUGAUGACUUGUGGGGAAACAUUUUGAUCACUAAAGAUAGUGACAAUUGACAACAAAAGAUUCUGACAUAAAAGGAAUAUUACUUAAAACAGUUGCAGUAGAGUUAUAUAAAUCUCAGUUUAUUACUAAGAAGGUGAUGUCUCUUAGCUUGAAUUUCUCUGCACAUUUUUGUAAGAAAAAAGCUGCCAGAUCUUUAAGAUACUCUCUUUACAUAUAUGCAUCUCUUUCUUGACAGAUCUUCUGACUAGUUAGUGUUCUUAAAAGAGAUGGAUUUUGAGCUAUGAGUAAGAGGAAGUAACUUGAAGUAGGUUGUUUAGCAAAAACAAAAAUAUCAUGAAGUAGGUCAAGUGAAUCAAGGGGUGUGUACAUUCCUACCUACCCCCUCCAUCCACCCCCAGAUCCACACAAUCCCAACCACUAUUAUUGUUCUUAAAUAUCCAAAUGACCAAAAAUGCCAUAACAUUUUUUUGUGUUUUUUUGUUUUUUGGUAAAAGAACAAAAAAUGCCAUAUCAUGAUGACUUGUAGGGAAACAUUUUGAUCACUAAAGACAGUGACAAUUGACGACAAACGAUUCUGACAUAAAAGGAAUAGAGUCUAGAUAUUCUGUGUGAGAGAGAGAGAGAGAUUUCCUCCCAUCAUCAUACUAGUAAAAAAAUUAUAAUCUAAAUAGAUAUCUUUCUUUUCAUUCAUUCCAGUUGUGAGAUUCCACUUUAGUGGAUAAAAACUGUUCAAAUAGAAAUUCUCUUUGGAACUAGAAAAAAUAAGAUUGCAGAAACCUUUGCCUCUAUUAUAUUCUUGUAUCGGCUGUUUAAAAUUUUAAUGCUCUUUUAGAGAGUAUUUGCUUGUAAAUCGUAAACAAUAAAAACGAUUGAAAUUAGAAGAAAUGUGGAUACUUACCUGAAUUCAACAAAAAAUGGUUAAAUUUGCAGAAUCUCAUGAAAAUAGUUUUCAUAUCAGAGAUGUUUGUGUGCAAAAUUGUUAUCAUGAACCCUGCAAUGGCAGGAGCCUUGUGUAUUAGGUAUGUCCUUGAUAGUUUUAUAAAAAUUACGGUAAUUAGAAAAUUUAGAAUAUUGAAAAAAAAAAAAAAAAAGGGGGAUUCAUAUAAUAAGUCAAAUUAGCUCAUAUCAAUUGUUUAAGGUCGGAUGGACAAUGAACUUGAGGUAUUAGCAAGGACUGUGUACUUAUCAAGGCUUUGCAUGGACAUCAACAACACCAUUUUACCCAAAUCACACAAAUAUAUGGUGCUACAGAUGGCAUCAAAGGAUGAUAAAAUAGUUUUACUUUGAUUGAGGUCUUGAACAUUUCAGGUAAAUUCCUUCCACUCCUGUUUUUGAUUUGAUUACUUACAUUACAUCCUUCAGUUAAUGGUUUCAUAUAGUUUGUUUAUGAAUGCAGAGGCUAGUGAUGAUCAGUAUCAUCCUGCAUUACCUGUUGUGAUCUUCUACCAAUUUAUCUUUGGCAAAGACCAAAGACCGAUGACUGAUACCGUAGAAAGAAGUGUUAAUUUCAAAGCUGAAAAACAAACCUCAAUUGAAAAGGAAGGUUCUAACUCAACUCAUAUUACUCAACUAAAAUUUAAUUAUUAUUUUUGUUAAUUGCAAGCUGCUUAUGUUUAUGAAUGUUUAAUUUGAAGGGAGCUAACACUUUAGAGCAACUCAAGGAAUACUCGGUGAUUCUGACCUAGGGAUUUUAUGAUGUAAAUUUCAAUGGCUAAGAGUUUGUGAUGUAAAUUUCAAUGGCUAAGAGUUUGUUUGGUUUGCCAAAAAAAAAAAAAAAAAUUAACAAUCCCUCUCUCUCUCUCUCAUAUCUAUUUCUUACAUUAUAGGAGUGAUAGAGUGUUGGGACUACUUGAUGGGAGAGGUAUAAGUGUUGAGGUUGUCUUUCAGUAACUUUUGUACUCAAUCAGAGAGUUAUUUCCAUCGAUGCAAUAUCAAGGUUCGUUUUCGUCAAA